GCACUCCACCCGGCAGCUUGGCCGGCACGUCCGACUGUCUGUCUGUCGGUCGGUCCCCAGUGGCCAACCUCUUGGUGUGGGUGGGGAAGCAGGGACGCGCCCUCUACCCACCGUAGACCAGCGAGCACCUGGACCGAGCACGGAAGGAGGACCUGAACGGUAUCAGACCCAGAGCUAUCUAAGGACAAUGUUAUCUCAUCUCAAAAAGAAAAGAAAAGAAAAGAAGAGAAGAGAAGAGAAGAGAAGAGAAGAGAAGAGAAGAGAAGAGAAAGAAAGAAAAGAAGAAGAAAAAUAGCAAAGUAUUUUGAGUACUUCAAAACAUUUUCAUGGAAACUACAUCUAGGAUUGCUUACCAAAGGCAGUUAUGGGUUGAAUUAAACAUCUUUGAUUUACACAAAACACA
rnacentral:lncRNA from 1 species